CUGACACUCCUGCCCGCGCCCGGGGGCUUGGUGGGCUCUUGAAUGAAUCAACCCUGCUUGCAAGGGCUAGUCGGGGGGUCAAGUCCUGCAACAAAGCUGAAGGACCAGCAGAGACUCAGUGGGAGAGAUGUCGCCCACCCAUCCUCACUGUGGCCUCUCCUUUCCGCGUUCCCUCCCUGCCCCAAGCUUCCAAACUCGCAAAAAGGCCUCUGGGACUCUGACCACCAGAGUGGAGGAAAUCGGCCUCUUCAGACCUUAGACAGGGAUCGAGGAAUGGAAAAUACCACCACCUCCAGCAGAAGUGUUGCAAGAACUGAUUGCAGGGGAACUGGAGUUCCAGAUGUUGCACUUGAAGGGCUCAAGUGUGAGCAGGUGGCCAUGGAUUUUCAUCACAGGUUGCAGCAGAUGGUUUCAAUAGUUCUGUUGAAUGCUCUUCAUCUUUGCCUUCAAGAGGAACCCCAGAUUUCAUUUACGGUCCAUUGCUAUGUUCUAGUAUGA
rnacentral:lncRNA from 1 species